rnacentral:rRNA from 1 species
UACAGAGGUCUCAAGCGUUGUUCGGAUUUAUUGGGCGUAAAGGGUGCGUAGGCGGCGAGGUAAGUCUGGUGUGAAAACUCGAGGCUCAACCUCGAGCUGUCGGUGGAAACUGUCUGGCUAGAGUCCGGAAGAGGAGAGUGGAAUUCCUGGUGUAGCGGUGAAAUGCGCAGAUAUCAGGAAGAACACCCGUGGCGAAGGCGGUUCUCUGGAACGCAACUGACGCUGAGACGCGAAAGCGUGGGGAGCAAACAGG